rnacentral:rRNA from 1 species
AUUGAACGCUGGCGGAAUGCUUUACACAUGCAAGUCGAACGGCAGCACGGGGCAACCUUGUGGCGAGUGGCGAACGGGUGAGUAAUACAUCGGAACGUGCCCAAUCGUGGGGGAUAACGUAGCGAAAGCUACGCUAAUACCGCAUACGAUCUACGGAUGAAAGCGGGGGAUCGCAAGACCUCGCGCGAAUGGAGCGGCCGAUGGCAGAUUAGGUAGUUGGUGGGGUAAAGGCUCACCAAGCCUGCGAUCUGUAGCUGGUCUGAGAGGACGACCAGCCACACUGGAACUGAGACACGGUCCAGACUCCUACGGGAGGCAGCAGUGGGGAAUUUUGGACAAUGGGCGCAAGCCUGAUCCAGCCAUUCCGCGUGCAGGAUGAAGGCCCUCGGGUUGUAAACUGCUUUUGUACGGAACGAAAAGGCUUUCUCUAAUACAGGGGGCUCAUGACGGUACCGUAAGAAUAAGCACCGGCUAACUACGUGCCAGCAGCCGCGGUAAU